rnacentral:rRNA from 1 species
GACUACAGGGGUAUCUAAUCCUGUUUGCUACCCACGCUUUCGCGUCUCAGCGUCAAUAUCGGUCCAGGCAGCCGCCUUCGCCACCGGUGUUCCUCCUGAUAUCUACGGAUUUCACUCCUACACCAGGAAUUCCACUGCCCUCUCCCGUAUUCAAGUCUACCAGUUUCCAAUGCACUUCCCAGGUUGAGCCCGGGGCUUUCACAUCAGACUUAAUAAACCGCCUACACGCGCUUUACGCCCAAUAAUUCCGAACAACGCUCGCACCCUCCGUAUUACCGCGGCUGCUGGCACGGAGUUAGCCGGUGCUUCCUUUGGGGGUACCGUCAAGUAUCAUGGGUAUUAACCAUAAUACACUUCUUUCCCCCUGACAGAGCUUUACGACCCGAAAGCCUUCAUCACUCACGCGGCGUUGCUGCGUCAGGCUUUCGCCCAUUGCGCAAAAUUCCCCACUGCAGCCCCCCGUAGG